AUAAGGCAGAAAGGUUCCAUAGCAGGUUUAACAUGGUUUAAACUGAGCUGAAUCAUCACAGUCGGGUUAUUAAAUAAAACAAUUUUAUAAUUAAAAAUGAAAAAUUCAUAAUUUCAAUAUGUUUUUGUGUUCAAUGACGUAACCGAGCAUCAUCUAGUUGGCCUUGAUCUCCUGCUCAGACAUCGAUUACUUUAGUCUGCGCCCGUGCGGAGGGGGCGGGGCUGCACCUUCAUCCAGACGCUCCAGUAUCUCUGAGGAAACCGCUCUUUAACGGCCUUAACUUUUCCUGAGGGCAGGUAGUGGAUGUUUGUACUGAAGCAGUGUUGGGACAAGUGGAGCCGUCAGAGCCAAGUAGACCUUUGGUGGAGUUUAAAAUAAGCUCCUGCGCCGUGGCCGCUCCGUUGUUUUAAGCAUACCUGCCAAUUAGCGGCCAAUUAGCCAAUUAGCGGUAUAUUUUUGCCCUUGAGUUGCAUCAUUGACUCUUUUUAAACGUCGUUUCGUAUCGGGGCAGAGAAGCAUGGAAACCCAGCGCAUCGUGUGUGAACCUGGAGUUGGGCCGCCGACAUUCAGCACUUUGUUGAAAAAGUUGUCUCCGCCUGCACCACAGCUUCCACAGCCACAGGAGAGUGUGCUGGAGCCUUCGUACCAAGCGGAGGAGUCCGGCUCCGCAGGCCGCCCCGUUCCUAUAGUGCUCCACUUCAAGAACAAGGAGGUUCCCAAAAAGGUGUGCUUCAAAUAUGACGUGUUUCUCAGGCUCAAUCACCAGUCGAACACCUGCGAUGUGAAAGAUCAGGGACUUCAGAUGAAAGGCUGGUCAAAGCUGGAGGAGUACUGGUGGAUCCAGGAGGGGGUGGAGUUGACUGUGGGGACGGACCAGUAGAGUCCACAGCUGCAGAGGAAGGAAUCUGUCCAGAUACAGAUGCUCAUCUAUUCACUGUUCACUCUGCUCCUCCUCCCAACGCCACUGACAGAGUUCUUGUGACUUUUGACCACUCAUCUAUGGCACGAGGGCCUGUUUUCUCUGGUAUAAACAGGUGCUUUAGGGUGUGAGGCAGGAGACACACACCCUGUAAUGUUGUCCAAUGUGUAUCAGGUUUUUUUCCCGACAGACUCCAGACCAGAACAGCAGCUACACCUGGGUUCGUCCUGAGUUCGUCUGAGUAGCAGUGAUUCUAAACCUUCUAAAAAGACCUUCUAGACGAUGCGAUAUUCACCCACACGGUCGUCACGGAACAAUCCUGAAGAAUGUAUGAAAGACAAAGAAGGAAGCUCAUCUCACCGACAUCCCAUCGCUGCUGCAGAUUCGGCCCCCUCACCGCCCGCCGGGACCCCAUGAUUAAUUGGAUAAACGCAGAUGGCGGCGCAUCACAAAGAUAUUUCUGUCACGGCAGCAGUGGAGCCUGAUGCACAAACACAACGUCAGAGGCUCUGGACCGUCGGGUGGAGGCCAGGGUUUGGUUCCAUUCCUGCCACGGAGACAGAAGAGACAAUCGGCCUGUUAAAAGUCCAGCACAGGUGGAGGACGCCGUUUAAAAACAUCCGAGUCCAAACUGCAGCCUUUCAUCCAGAGGACGGACAAGCAAAGCGGCUCCAGGGUCACGUGGCAUCAGGCAAAAAGGAACGACGACGACUAUGUUUGUUAGUUACCCCAAAAACGGAGUCAAUUAUCAUCCAAGGUCAAUUCUAUUGAUUUCUGAGCUGAAUAUAAUAAAGUCAGUGCCUUUAAAUUAUACAGCAGAACCCAACAAAUGACUGGGUGACAGAAGGACCAGUCUCAGGGUCGCAGCUGCUGCAGCUACCGCUUAAUGACCUUAGACUCACCUGAUCAGGCUCAGACAAGAAAGCUGUGAAGAUACAUUUGCAUUAGAUAUAGAGACGUCUGCUUCCAAGUCUGAACCGUGAGCUGCUUCCACAGGAACAAACGUCCAACCACAGGUACCAGGCCUCUGAGGGCAAACACCAACACACUUUCACUCCUCCAUUCUGACAUUAAAUCCUGUCAGAUGAACAGAACUUGGCAUUUUACUGACCUUUUUACCUUUUUAAAAGCCUUUAGGGCCCAUUCACAAUAAAUCUACUGUAUAAACGGCUAUAAACAUCGAUUGUCUUCUGCUUCCUGCCACAACAACCAUUAGCAACCUGAUGAACAGCAUCAUCCGCUAACGUGAGUCUGCAAAGCUGCGUUUCUACAAAUGGUUGUCAUUGUCUUGACUUUUACAAAACCUUGAAAUACACUUAGUUUUAUUUUUGUUAAUUGAUAAAAGCGUUUUCAUCAUUUGCUCCUUCAUCUCAUGCAAGGAGCAGUUAAACAGUCUUCAGAUGAAUCAAGCCUUGAGUCAUGUGACCAGAUCCCAACAGGAGACAGAAGCUCCAGACAAUAAAAACAGCCAUGGCAACGAUAAGUGGCAUGAAGCCUGGUGGAGAUGUUAUUUAUGGUGGAGUCUGGGGUCGGGGGUGAGGGGGUUUAUGGGGGUGAGGUCAGAUUAGUGUUUGCAUGUGCUACACAAACGCCUACUGUGAUGUGUUAAAUUCCAGUUGUUUUUGUCAUUUCAGACCGUCCAGGUACAAAACAAGACCCUGUCGUCAAACAUUACAAACGAAAUAAGGAUUAAAAAAACAUUGAACAUUCAUGGGACCAGAUGACAGAACAUCCCCAUCUCCAGCCUCAGUCACUCCCAGGCAGAAUUUAGAGGACAGGCUGCUUUGUGACCCUCGGAUCACGCUCCGACCGGUCAGACAUCAGGAGUCGCGCAUUCUUCCCACACUGAGGAGGACGGAUCACAGAUCACAGAAACGGAAAAUAACACGGGGACAGUGAAGAUGAGAAUGAGUUGUGUCAUUUCAACAUCAACGAGUAACAAAUUGUGGGAGGCUUUCAUUCCAGACUUUAGUGAAAAGCUACAGGUGUGUUAAGUAUUCAGUAGUAGACUUGAAUAUACUGUUGUUGAGCGCAUCUAAGCACUCGUGACCUUUAACCCCACCGUAGCUUGUGAAUUAAUGAGCGUAAAUCAUGAUUCCCUGCUUGUCUGAUAUGAAUAAUGACCUUUAGUUCAGUCUUUUAGAUAAAUCAAACCUGCAUGUCUGUGUGAUCAUGUCUUCAAAUACGACGUGGAGGGAAUGUUAGGUCUGUUCAUCCGUGUGUUGGUUCAGUGGAGGCCCGUUAUCAGGAGGAGGAGGGCCGUCCUGGAAAUGAUGGCAGCACUGAGCUCGCACACGUUUCAGGAAUGCCAGAAAGGGGGGGGGGGGGUGCAGGGCGUCGGGCCACAAACAUCAGGGGGAACAAGCACUCUUUCAUUUAGACUCAUGCCUCAGGCCCAACGUCUAGACCCUGCGAAGCUGAAGAGGGCAACUGAAAAUAAAUAAACAGAUGUCAAAUAUCAAAUCCAGUUUCAGCUACAAACUAGAAGCACUGGUGAUAAAAGCCAGUGGAUUUAUCUGAAUGCUGAAAUUACAGAGGAGUUAAGGUGCCGCAUUAGAAGGCAGUUUAAGGUUGAGCAUCAUCUCUCAGCACGGCUGCACAUCAGGGAGGAAUCAUUACGUCCGGGUUCUUCAGAACCGACCUGUCCAGUUUAAACCGUGGCCUUUGCUGAUGCGGUGGUUUGCUGCCACGUCAGUGACAUUUUAAGUUAAUGAUCCCAGAAUAUGCAUGACUCCCACCUGUAUAUGUACGAUGCUGAGCUGAGCUGGUGGAGCAGUUCCUCCUGCUGUAAAUAAGCAGAGGCGUCGUUAUGAGGACGGCCCCCUGUUUUUUGUGCACGUUGGCCCACGGACACAUGCAGAUUAGAGCUGCUGCGAAUGAUGAAACCUGUGUGUAACCGCUGGCCGACGGUGACUCAGCUGCGUGGGACAGGCCUCAGGAAACAACAAGUGGUGCCGCGGCGCUGCUCGGCUGGAGGCGCAGUGGCCCGCGGCUGUGACCGAGGCGGGUUGGGUCAGAACACGGUUUAAAACACCAACGCAAAGAGCCCAUGACUGGAGGAGACUGGAGGUUAACGCUGCCUGUGGGUGCGUGAAGUCAUGGCUGCUCGUAUCGUAGGAGCUCAGUGACUGGAAAAGCCAAUAUUGACUCUUUGUUCCCGUCAGCAGCUUGGGAGGUGCAGACACUGUUUGCUCCCUGGUAAAAGCAACAACCCUGGCAGUGGCUGCGUUCACAGUGAAAGUCAGACUUGCACCGGUUCUGCUAACGGCUCGGUGGGCGCUCCAGGCGGCCGUGGUUCUGAUAAGUUCCCAGCAGCUGUCUCUUUGCUCACGGUGUUAUCGCUGCUCAAACAGCUCCGGGCGCCGGCUGUUCUCCAGGGCACACACGUUUCAUGCUCAAACAUUUUACCACACGUACCCGAACAGAGACCUGCCGCUCAUUUGACUUUUAUGUCACAGCGACAAAAAUCAUGUAGCGGGUUCAAAGCGACCCGACCGAAGGCUUCACCGACCACGGCCUGGACUUUACUCGCUCACACUGACGCUCUGCUGUGGUCCUUUUUUCCUGUUCUUAUUAAAUCCAGAUCAAUCAGCAGGAGCCUCCAGGUGAUCAUCAGUGUGUAGUGAUGGGACACAUAGAAAACUGCGACACUGCUACUGCUGCCACUAUAUGUUUAUAAAUGUAGACCGUGGACUGCU